rnacentral:lncRNA from 1 species
UGUUGAAUUGUAAUCCCCAGUGUUGGAGGUGGAGCCUGAUGAAGGGUGACUGAGUCAUGUGGGUGGCAUUCUCAUGAAUGGGUUAGCACCAUCCUCUUGGUGCUGUUCUCAUGGUAAGAGUUCUCAGGAGAUCUGGUUGUUUAGAAGUGUGUGACACCUCCCCACCAUCUCACUCUCUCUUCUUUCUGCUCCAGCCAUGUAAGACAUGCCUGUGCCUGCUUCCCCUUUGCCUUCUGCCAUGACUGAAAGUUUCCUAAGGCCUCCUCAGAAGCCGAGCAGAUGCCAGCAUCAUGCUUCCUCUAAAGCCUGUGGAACCAUGAGCCAGGAUUUUUCAUGGGCCGAUCUGCUGAAUUCAGCCUAGGAGCUGAGACCAACAUCUGAGUCUCUUCAGCACACAAGUUUGAAAGAAGUCCUAGCAACUUCAAGCUCAGAACUACGGGUGGCAGCAGCUCCCUCUUGACGUCGAAGCCUCCCAUUCCAGAGAGAGUCAAGGCCUGGAUCAAACAAAGCCCACAAGCACCGAUGACUGAGCUGCUGACUACCCCCAGCAUCUCCAACUCAACCUCCUCUUUCUGCCUCUACCCAAAUUUUAAAACUUUCAAACAUGGGUUUAAAAAUGGUAAUGAGUAAAGUUGCAUCCAAGUGUAUCAAAUAAAACUAAAUAUCCAUAAAUGCUGUAAUAAUUCCUGCUUUGAUGCUGAACUAAAGAAUUUUCUGCCAGGCGUGGUGGCUAACACCUGUAAUCCCAGCACUUUGGGAGGCCAAGGCAGGUGGAUCACGAGGUCAGGAGUUCAAGACCUGCCUGGCCAACGUGGUGAAACCCCAUCUCUACUAAAAAUACAAAAAUUAGCUGGGCAUGGUGGCAGGCAUCUGUAGUCCCAGCUACUCAGGAGGCUGAGGCAGGAGAAUCACUUGAACCCGGGAGACAGAGGUUGUAGUGAGCCAAGAUGGCACCACUGCACUCCAUCCUGGGCAACAAGCGAGAUUCCAUCUCAAAAGAAAAAAAAAAAAGAAUUUUCUGUUUAUAUUACAUAUAGUCUCACUUCAUAUUUCAUUUCUCUCACCUCUGAUACCUGGAGUCCUUUGCUAGUACUGAAAUUGAGUAAAGUCAUUCUCAUGAGUUUUAGUAAACUCAAAACUCAAAACUCAUGAAGUUGGCAAAACUCAAAGAAUGCUUUGGUCUAGUUUGACAUUGGCCAGUAUGUUUUUCAUAUCCAGUCAUUCCUUUUUUCCUGGCUGACAUCCUCACUUCCUGCCUGUGGAGGAAAAGUUAAAUAUUAAAUUUGAACUCAAUUGAAUGUGGACACAAACAAUGGUCACCAAGUCCGGGAACAGGUUGUGUGAGUCCCUUGAGGCAUUUAUCCUGCCCUGUUUCGGAGAAAUCUCUAUUUCAAACUAUUCCUAUGUGUUACUUACUGAAAAACAACAGACAAUCGCAAAAACAAGUUGACCUUUUUGUGUUCCUUGAGCCCAGUCACAAAGGGCCCUCAUGACUGGGCCUCAUGCCAAACAACUUGUUACAAAAAGAGCUAGGGUCCCAGACCGCACCAAAGACCCAUGAGACCUCUCCUCGUCUGUGCACAGACUGGUGGCCGACUCUGGAGCCCAGGCUGUUGCUUCCUGGUCUGGUGAUGAAUCCUCCAUAGUCUGGUGAGUGUAAAUAUAUAUAUACAUAUAUAUCUUUUCCCGUCUCCCCUUCCCAUUGCAAUUUGCUUAUUAUAUCAUUUGCUUAUUAUACGUGUAUUGCGAUAUACUUGGGAUAAAGGCUGUUUACC